GGAUCUAGAACGUAAUACAGUGGUAUUUCUAAAAACAUGUCGAAGGUUCUGUAUUGUCUCUUGAUCGCUGCGUUGGUUGCACAAAUCUAUGCCAAACCAGCCGAUGCUGAUGACGAGAAAAAGAAUGCUGAAUCUGAUGCUUCUACAGCAACACCACCAACGCAAAAAUUACCACCGCUAGGUUCAGGCAAAAAUUUAGUCAAUAAGGGAAUUGACACUGGAGCAGAAGCA